UACGUAGGGUGCGAGCGUUAAUCGGAUUUACUGGGCGUAAAGGGGGCGUAGGCGGCCCGGCAAGUCAAGUGUGAAAUCCGGCGGCUCAACCGCUGGGCUGCGCUUGAAACUGCCGGGCUUGAGUGCAGCAGAGGGAGACGGAAUUGCCGGUGUAGGGGUGAAAUCCGUAGAGAUCAGGAGGAACACCGAUGGCGAAGGCAGCCCCCUGGGCCUGUACUGACGCUCAUGCACGAAAGCGUGGGGAGCAAACAGG
rnacentral:rRNA from 1 species